rnacentral:rRNA from 1 species
GUGUCAGCAGCCGCGGUAAUACAGAGGGUGCGAGCGUUGUCCGGAAUCACUGGGCGUAAAGGGCGCGUAGGUGGCGGGGUAAGCGUGUGGUGAAAGUCCGGGGCUCAACCCCGGAUCGGCCAUGCGAACUGCCCGGCUGGAGCACGGUAGAGGCACAUGGAAUUCCGGGUGUAGCGGUGGAAUGCGUAGAGAUCCGGAAGAACACCGGUGGCGAAGGCGGUGUGCUGGGCCGUUGCUGACACUGAAGCGCGACAGCGUGGGGAGCAAACAGGAUUAGAAACCCUCGUAGUCC